UGGGAUACUUGCAGAAAGACCAACAAUGGGAACGUUUUUACAAUUUUCACCAUCUAAUCUAUCACUAAAUUCACUUCUGUGAACGUUUUAGGCAAGAAAUUAAAUGUGUAGAUUUCAAAUACAGGCUGUCUUAU